GUCUGUGUGCAUCUGUGCAAUGGGUCAGUGCAUCUGGCUGUUAACCAGAAGGUUGGUGGUUUGAACCCAUCCAGGGACG
rnacentral:tRNA from 1 species